ACACUUAAGCAGACUGUUCGCUUUACAAGAUAAGUGGCCUUUAUCCAAAGAAAUGACGUUGGAUCUCAGACUGCAGGGUGCUUGUAGGAGUGGGAAGCAAGCGUUGCUAGGAGGAAUAGAAAUUUUCAUCUUUUCUGGAUGUGGGGUCUACUCUCCCUUCUUCAUGUGUCUAUUUUGGGUCUUCCCUCCACUAAAGCUAAGCUCUCUGAUGGCAGUUUUGUCCAUCUGGUUAGAACAGUGCCUGGGCAAUAGUAGAUACUCAAAAAGUAUUAAUACUUGUUAUUUUAGUGAAUGUUUAGUAAAUGGCUUUUAGUGAAUGUUGUCUGUUUCUAGUGCCCUGCAGCACAGAUCUGAUAAACUGAGGGAGAGAAGGGAGCUGAGCUGGGUUUUACAGAGUUACCGCGAGGAUUUCUGUUGUGGGAAAAUACCCAGGAAGUGACUGAGCCCAGCCAGACGUCACUGGAGACAUGCAGAAGAAAAGGCAAGAUUGGUUGUGACUCUCCUCUUCUGGGAACAUUCUAGAAAGGGGUAGCAAGGAUGCUGAAACCAGGCCAGCUCCAUAAGACCUCACUUUGCAGAAAUAGAGAGAAGUAAGGGGUGUAGGUAGGAAGAACAGAGUGGUACUGAGAAGUCUCAAGGAAGAGAGCGAAGGGGAAGAGCAGCAUAGAAAGUGUGGCUGCAUUUGCGUGGUGGUCUUACUGCGUACAAUGGUUGAGUUCCAUGGUCCUUGUCAGCCUCCCUCACAGGGGGAAUGCGCAGAUCUCUGAAAAAAAUAGCUCCCUCUUCAGCCUGCCCCGAAAUCCCCACCUAUUUCCACAACAGGGAGAAUGCAAAUUUUCCUGCGGAAAAGCAAAUAAACUGUUUUUAGGAAUGAAUGUUGAAAUAAAUUAAACCUUGAUGACUCAUUCAUGUCUUGGAAAAUUUUUAUUUACCAGAAGUUAUCUCUUUUGCAGGAAUUCUGAAAAAAA
rnacentral:lncRNA from 1 species